rnacentral:rRNA from 1 species
CGUAGGUGGCAAGCGUUAUCCGGGAAUUAUUGGGCGUAAAGCGCGCGUAGGCGGUUUCUUAAGUCUGAUGUGAAAGCCCACGGCUCAACCGUGGAGGGUCAUUGGAAACUGGGAAACUUGAGUACAGAAGAGGAAAGUGGAAUUCCAUGUGUAGCGGUGAAAUGCGCAGAGAUAUGGAGGAACACCAGUGGCGAAGGCGACUUUCUGGUCUGUAACUGACGCUGAUGUGCGAAAGCGUGGGAUCAAACAGGAUU